rnacentral:rRNA from 2 species
CGUAACAAGGUAUCUGUAGGUGAACCUGCAGAUGGAUCA